GACGAACGCUGGCGGCGUGCCUAAUACAUGCAAGUAGAACGCUGAAGAGAGGAGCUUGCUCUUCUUGGAUGAGUUGCGAACGGGUGAGUAACGCGUAGGUAACCUGCCUUGUAGCGGGGGAUAACUAUUGGAAACGAUAGCUAAUACCGCAUAACAAUGGAUGACACAUGUCAUUUAUUUGAAAGGGGCAAUUGCUCCACUACAAGAUGGACCUGCGUUGUAUUAGCUAGUAGGUGAGGUAACGGCUCACCUAGGCGACGAUACAUAGCCGACCUGAGAGGGUGAUCGGCCACACUGGGACUGAGACACGGCCCAGACUCCUACGGGAGGCAGCAGUAGGGAAUCUUCGGCAAUGGGGGCAACCCUGACCGAGCAACGCCGCGUGAGUGAAGAAGGUUUUCGGAUCGUAAAGCUCUGUUGUAAGUCAAGAACGAGUGUGAGAGUGGAAAGUUCACACUGUGACGGUAGCUUACCAGAAAGGGACGGCUAACUACGUGCCAGCAGCCGCGGUAAUACGUAGGUCCCGAGCGUUGUCCGGAUUUAUUGGGCGUAAAGCGAGCGCAGGCGGUUUGAUAAGUCUGAAGUUAAAGGCUGUGGCUCAACCAUAGUUCGCUUUGGAAACUGUCAAACUUGAGUGCAGAAGGGGAGAGUGGAAUUCCAUGUGUAGCGGUGAAAUGCGUAGAUAUAUGGAGGAACACCGGUGGCGAAAGCGGCUCUCUGGUCUGUAACUGACGCUGAGGCUCGAAAGCGUGGGGAGCGAACAGGAUUAGAUACCCUGGUAGUCCACGCCGUAAACGAUGAGUGCUAGGUGUUGGAUCCUUUCCGGGAUUCAGUGCCGCAGCUAACGCAUUAAGCACUCCGCCUGGGGAGUACGACCGCAAGGUUGAAACUCAAAGGAAUUGACGGGGGCCCGCACAAGCGGUGGAGCAUGUGGUUUAAUUCGAAGCAACGCGAAGAACCUUACCAGGUCUUGACAUCCCGAUGCUAUUUCUAGAGAUAGAAAGUUACUUCGGUACAUCGGUGACAGGUGGUGCAUGGUUGUCGUCAGCUCGUGUCGUGAAAUGUUGGGUUAAGUCCCGCAACGAGCGCAACCCCUAUUGUUAGUUGCCAUCAUUCAGUUGGGCACUCUAGCGAGACUGCCGGUAAUAAACCGGAGGAAGGUGGGGAUGACGUCAAAUCAUCAUGCCCCUUAUGACCUGGGCUACACACGUGCUACAAUGGUUGGUACAACGAGUUGCGAGUCGGUGACGGCAAGCUAAUCUCUUAAAGCCAAUCUCAGUUCGGAUUGUAGGCUGCAACUCGCCUACAUGAAGUCGGAAUCGCUAGUAAUCGCGGAUCAGCACGCCGCGGUGAAUACGUUCCCGGGCCUUGUACACACCGCCCGUCACACCACGAGAGUUUGUAACACCCGAAGUCGGUGAGGUAACCUUUUGGAGCCAGCCGCCUAAGGUGGGAUAGAUGAUUGGGGUGAAGUCGUAACAAGGUAGCCGUAUCGGAAGG
rnacentral:rRNA from 1 species